UGGCUCAGUGGAUAGAGCAUCAGCCUGCGAACUGAAAGGUCCUGGGUUCGAUCCCCAG
rnacentral:tRNA from 1 species